GUACUCGCUUCGGCGGUAUAUAUAGUAAAAUUGGAACGAUACGUAAAAGAUUAGCAUGGCCCCUGGGCAAGGAUCACACGCAAAAUCGUGAAGUAUUCCAUGGCCGG